UACACUUUAUAAUUUUAAAUUCAGAUAUGACAUACAUUUUUAGCAUAUUUCAUGCAUCAUAAAAUGCCAUGUUAUGUAUUAGGUUGUGUUGCAUUAGAAUCCACGAAUAUGCUGCAUUGCAUAAGAUGAUAAUUGUGUGGAUGAAUGUUGAAUGAUCCAUAGCCCUUGAUAUCAGUUGAGACACCAUGAGAGCAUAUGAGAUAUGGCAUGAGAUAGCCAUACCAGGUCGCCCCUGGAUAGUCCAGGUCGCUCCUGGUACUAUGAGUUAGACAGCUGGGCUGUCAGAUCAGAUAAGAGAAGUCCAGGUGAUGACGUAGUCUCCUUGGCACAGUGGGACAUGUUAUGAUAUGAGAGAAAUAAGAGAAGUCCAGGUGAUGACCUAGUCUCCUUGGCACAGCAGGACAUAUUAUGACAUGUAGUAGAGGGCUAUUGGUGACAAGUUCAUCCUUGAGAUGAUAUGUUUGUGAUGUGAUGCAUUCCAUGAGAGCAUGUAAUGAAUGAAUUGUUUUAUUGUUCCUCCUCACUGGGCUGUAGUAGCUCAUCCCACUCCCUUAACCCCAGUUUUGCAGGUUCUGAGAUUAGCUGUGAGAAGUCAAAGUCAACAAGAGUAAAGAGGAAGGAUAUGCAUGAAUGUAUGUUUGUAAUAGAAUAGUGGACAUGAUAUAAUUAAAAGAUUAAUUGUAAUGUAUUGAUAUGUACUGUCAUAUACUGGAUAGACUAGUGCUUUCCCUAGUGUUAUUGCUAUAGUGUGAUGUAUGAUCUAUCCCUUUGUAC
rnacentral:lncRNA from 1 species